UAAACAACAGGUUUGGUCCCGGCCUUUUUAUUAGCUGUCUGCAGGAUUAUACAUGCAAAAAUCCCUACACCGGUGAGAAUGCCCUAUGUACCACACUCAGGUUUAAAGGAGCAGACAUCAAGCACACUGCUAAGUAGCUCACGACGUCUUGCUUUGCCACACCCCCACGGGAAACAGCAGUAAUAAAAAUUAAGCAAUAAACGAAAGUUUGACUAAGUUAUGCAGCAAUUAGGGUUGGUAAAUCUCGUGCCAGCCACCGCGGUCAUACGAUUGACCCUAGUUAAUAAACCCCGGCGUAAAAAGUGUUUUGGAAAUAUAAAAAAUAAGGCUAAUCUUUGUCUAAGUUGUAGAAAACUCUAGACAUGGUAGAAAUCAUAAACGAAAGUAGCUUUAAUAAGUCCGACACACGAAAGCUAAGGCCCAAACUGGGAUUAGAUACCCCACUAUGCUUAGCCAUAAACAUAAAAACUUAUACAACAAAAGAUUUCGCCAGAGAACUACUAGCAAUAGCUUAAAACUCAAAGGACUUGGCGGUGCUUUAUACC
rnacentral:ncRNA from 1 species